rnacentral:rRNA from 1 species
AGUGGGGUGCUUAAMCAUGCAAGUCGAACGAUGACCUCCAGCUUGCUGGGGUGAUUAGUGGCGAACGGGUGAGUAACACGUGAGUAACCUGCCCUUAACUCUGGGAUAAGCCUGGGAAACUGGGUCUAAUACCGGAUAUGACUCCUCAUCGCAUGGUGGGGGGUGGAAAGCUUUUUGUGGUUUUGGAUGGACUCGCGGCCUAUCAGCUUGUUGGUGAGGUAAUGGCUCACCAAGGCGACGACGGGUAGCCGGCCUGAGAGGGUGACCGGCCACACUGGGACUGAGACACGGCCCAGACUCCUACGGGAGGCAGCAGUGGGGAAUAUUGCACAAUGGGCGAAAGCCUGAUGCAGCGACGCCGCGUGAGGGAUGACGGCCUUCGGGUUGUAAACCUCUUUCAGUAGGGAAGAAGCGAAAGUGACGGUACCUGCAGAAGAAGCGCCGGCUAACUACGUGCCAGCAGCCGCGGUAAUACGUAGGGCGCAAGCGUUAUCCGGAAUUAUUGGGCGUAAAGAGCUCGUAGGCGGUUUGUCGCGUCUGCCGUGAAAGUCCGGGGCUCAACUCCGGAUCUGCGGUGGGUACGGGCAGACUAGAGUGAUGUAGGGGAGACUGGAAUUCCUGGUGUAGCGGUGAAAUGCGCAGAUAUCAGGAGGAACACCGAUGGCGAAGGCAGGUCUCUGGGCAUUAACUGACGCUGAGGAGCGAAAGCAUGGGGAGCGAACAGGAUUAGAUACCCUGGUAGUCCAUGCCGUAAACGUUGGGCACUAGGUGUGGGGGACAUUCCACGUUUUCCGCGCCGUAGCUAACGCAUUAAGUGCCCCGCCUGGGGGAGUACGGCCGCAAGGCUAAAACUCAAAGGAAUUGACGGGGGCYCGCACAAGCGGCGGAGCAUGCGGAUUAAUUCGAUGCAACGCGAAAGAAACCUUUACCAAGGCUUGACAUGGGGCCGGGACCGGGCUGGGAACAGUCCCUUCCYCUUUUGGGGAUCGGGAUUCACAGGUGGCUGGCAUGUUUGAUCGUCCAGCUCGAUGAUCGUGAAUGUUGGGCUUUAAAGUUC